CUCGAAUGAUGAUCCCUAACGACGGGCGGACAGACCCACUGUGCUGAUUGUCGUGUUCUGACCGG